UCUGAACAUUCUUCAGAUUUGCAUCGUGUCAGAGUUCUGCUCUUCUUGUUCUUCUUCAUCUUCAGACUUUGUGAAGUUCAGAUUUUACAUUUCUACAUUUUUGGACCUUCGUACCUGAAACUUUCCCCACCAACUCUUCGGUAUCCCUCCUGCUGCUGACUCUAGAACUCAUCUCUCUCCUGUCAUUCAGGUAUCUCUCCUGCUGCUGACUCUAGAACUCAUCUCUCUCCUGUCAUUCAGAUCAACAUGAAGAUCUCUAUCUUUGCUGGUGUUCUGCUGAUCUCUGCUGCCGUGCUCUCUAUGGAAAGAGAUGAUCCAGGUGA